UACGUAGGGUGCGAGCGUUUGUCCGGAAUUAUUGGGCGUAAAGGGCUCGUAGGCGGUCUGUUGCGUCGGGAGUGAAAACUCAGGGCUUAACCCUGAGCCUGCUUCCGAUACGGGCAGACUAGAGGUAUGCAGGGGAGAACGGAAUUCCUGGUGUAGCGGUGAAAUGCGCAGAUAUCAGGAGGAACACCGGUGGCGAAGGCGGUUCUCUGGGCAUUACCUGACGCUGAGGAGCGAAAGUGUGGGGAGCGAACAGG
rnacentral:rRNA from 1 species